rnacentral:snRNA from 1 species
AAAAAAAAAAAUUGGAACGAUAUAGAGAAAAUUAGCAUGGCCCCUGCGCAAGGAUGACAUGCAAAUUCGUGAAGCAUUCCAUAAAAAA